AUUGAACGCUGGCGGCAUGCUUUACACAUGCAAGUCGGACGGCAGCACAGAGAAGCUUGCUUCUUGGGUGGCGAGUGGCGAACGGGUGAGUAAUAUAUCGGAACGUACCGAGUAAUGGGGGAUAACUAAUCGAAAGAUUAGCUAAUACCGCAUAUUCUCUGAGGAGGAAAGCAGGGGACCUUCGGGCCUUGCGUUAUUCGAGCGGCCGAUAUCUGAUUAGCUAGUUGGUGGGGUAAAGGCCUACCAAGGCGACGAUCAGUAGCGGGUCUGAGAGGAUGAUCAGCCACACUGGAACUGAGACACGGCCCAGACUCCUACGGGAGGCAGCAGUGGGGAAUAUUGGACAAUGGGCGCAAGCCUGAUCCAGCCAUGCCGCGUGUCUGAAGAAGGCCUUCGGGUUGUAAAGGACUUUUGUCAGGGAAGAAAAGGCUGUUGCUAAUACCGACAGCUGAUGACGGUACCUGAAGAAUAAGCACCGGCUAACUACGUG
rnacentral:rRNA from 1 species